rnacentral:rRNA from 1 species
CAGUGAAUCAUCGAAUCUUUGAACGCACCUUGCGCUCGUUGGUAUUCCGAGGAGCAUGCCUGUUUGAGUGUCAGU